GACGAACGCUGGCGGCGUGCUUAACACAUGCAAGUCGAACGGAAAGGCCCUGCUUUUGUGGGGUGCUCGAGUGGCGAACGGGUGAGUAACACGUGAGUAACCUGCCCUUGACUUUGGGAUAACUUCAGGAAACUGGGGCUAAUACCGGAUAGGAGCUCCUGCUGCAUGGUGGGGGUUGGAAAGUUUCGGCGGUUGGGGAUGGGCUCGCGGCUUAUCAGCUUGUUGGUGGGGUAGUGGCUUACCAAGGCUUUGACGGGUAGCCGGCCUGAGAGGGUGACCGGCCACAUUGGGAUUGAGAUACGGCCCAGACUCCUACGGGAGGCAGCAGUGGGGAAUAUUGCACAAUGGGCGGAAGCCUGAUGCAGCAACGCCGCGUGCGGGAUGACGGCCUUCGGGUUGUAAACCGCUUUCGCCUGUGACGAAGCGUGAGUGACGGUAAUGGGUAAAGAAGCACCGGCUAACUACGUG
rnacentral:rRNA from 1 species